rnacentral:rRNA from 1 species
GUGCGUGGCUUCUGUUGCGUGCUCCUUCUUUUGGCUGCGUCAAGCUCCAUCGGUUUCACGGUCACCUUGAGUAAAUCAGAGUGCUCAAAGCAGUCGUAGGGGCCUUGCGCCCUGUGAACAGUCUUGACGGACUGACUUGGUUUUGCAUGGCAUGUCGGAAGACGACGUCGUGUGCUGGCUCARAGGAUAAAUCAGUGGUACAAGCCAGCCUCGACGUAAUGAUUAAAAGGGACGGUCGAGGGCAUUGGUAUUGCGAGGCGAGAGUGAAAAUUCUGU